GGUCUGGUAGUUCAGCUGGUUAGAAUACCUGCCUGUCACGCAGGGGGUCGCGGGUUCGAGUCCCGUCCAGACCG
rfam:Polaribacter sp. Hel1_85 PHEL85b, whole genome shotgun sequence.